rnacentral:rRNA from 1 species
CUACAAAUCUAGCCCAAAAACCACAACCCCCCCCCCCAAAAAACCACUUAAUCCACAAAAAAUUAAAGCAUUCGACCCGUCCUAGUAUAGGAGAUAGAAAAGAUUAUACGGAGCUAUAAAGAACAGUACCGCAAGGGAAAGUUAAAAAACAUGAAACAUCUACCAUAGUAAAAAAGCAAAGAUAAAACCUUGUACCUUUUGCAUAAUGAUUUAACUAGCACACACUCAAGCAAAGAGAACUAAAGUAUGAAACCCCGAAACCAAGUGAGCUACUUACGGGCAACCAUUAUUAAAAUACUAAAGACAACCAACCAUCUCUGUGGCAAAAGAGUGGUGAGACCCGUAAAUAGAGGUGAAAAGCCUACCGAACCUGGUGAUAGCUGGUUGCUCAGAAAAAGAAUAAAAGUUCUACCUUAAAUUACCCUACAAAGCAAUACAAAGUCUUACCCAAGUGAAAUUUAAGAGCUAUUCAGUCGGGGUACAGCCCUACUGAAAAAGGACACAACCUUGAAAGGUGGUAAAAUACAUCAACCAAUCACCGUAGGCCUUAAAGCAGCCACCAUAAAAAAAAGCGUUAAAGCUAAACAAAACAAAUAUACACAACAAAAAUUUCACCCCAAUUACACUGAGCCAUUCUACCCACAUAGAAGAAUUAAUGUUAAAAUGAGUAACAAGAAAACCAAAUUCCUCUAAAGCACCAGCUUAAAUCAGCUCAGACAUACUACUGAUUAUUAACAGCCACAUAUAAAACAAAUAAAAAUAAACAAACCAUAUAGACUAAACUGUUAACCCAACACAGGACUGCACACUAGAAAGAUUAAAACCCGUAAAAGGAACUAGGCAAACAAAAAGCCCGACUGUUUACCAAAAACAUAGCCCUUAGCAUAAACAAGUAUUAAGGGUAAUGCCUGCCCAGUGACACAGUUCAACGGCCGCGGUAUUCUGACCGUGCGAAGGUAGCGUAAUCACUUGUCUUUUAAAUAAAGACUGGAAUGAAUGGCUAAACGAGGCUUUACCUGUCUCUUACGGGUAAUCAGUGAAAUUGAUCUCCUCGUGCAAAAGCGAGAAUAAUAACAUAAGACGAGAAGACCCUGUGGAACUUUAAAUAAUGACUAAACAAUAAGAAACCCACCAACCAACACGGCCCACCAACCACAAUCUUUCAUUAGCCUUAUUUUCGGUUGGGGUGACCUCGGAGAAAAACCAAACCUCCGAAGAUUUACACCAAGAAAAACAAAUCAAAGUGCCCACGGCUAAACGAUCCAAUACAUUUGAUUAAUGAACCAAGCUACCCCAGGGAUAACAGCGCAAUCCCCUCUUAGAGUCCCUAUCAACGAUGGGGGUUUACGACCUCGAUGUUGGAUCAGGACAUCCUAAUGGUGCAGCCGCUAUUAAGGGUUCGUUUGUUCAACGAUUAACAGUCCUACGUGAUCUGAGUUCAGACCGGAGUAAUCCAGGUCGGUUUCUAUCUAUGAUUGUAAAUUUUUUAGUACGAAAGGAUCAAAAAAAUGCAGCCUAUGUAUAAAAACACGCUGUAUCCCUAAUUAGUGAAUACCAACUAAACUAUUAUACAAAACAACCAAACCCAAUUUUAACCCGAAACCAAGGGUCU